UACGUAGGGGGCAAGCGUUGUCCGGAAUCAUUGGGCGUAAAGCGCGUGUAGGCGGCCAGAAAAGUCCGCUGUGAAAACUCGAGGCUCAACUUCGAGCUGUCGGUGGAAACUUUCUGGCUAGAGUCCGGAAGAGGAGAAUGGAAUUCCUGGUGUAGCGGUGAAAUGCGCAGAUAUCAGGAAGAACACCCGUGGCGAAGGCGGUUCUCUGGGACGGUACUGACGCUGAGGUGCGAAAGCGUGGGGAGCGAACAGG
rnacentral:rRNA from 1 species